rnacentral:misc_RNA from 1 species
UGAGUAUGCCUCUGACGUCACCCAUGUGCAAUGGAUUGCAUAUCUAGUCAGCAAAUAGAAAGCACCAACAAGCAAUGCAAUUGCUCCAUUCUUUUGGUAGGGCAAAGACUGAUCAAGCGCACCCUUUGAGGAAGCCUUUGUGCUAGUUGUUCCUUUGCCGGAGCCAGCUUGAGUAGGUUUUGUUUUUGCCCUCACCAACAGACUUAAAUUCUUGAUAGUUGCCGAGACAGCAAUAGCACUGAUGAGGCAUACCGCAGGUGUAGCAACAAGAAUCAAUCGAACCAUGACCCCAGCAAAGUACAUGCUGGUGAGGCCAUACAUCACAAUAAAUAUAGUAGCAUCUGACAGUCGUUUGAAGCAGAAAUACAGACCCGCAGGGAAAAGGAUUAGCAAUAUAUGAAAAUCAAACAUGAAAGA